UACAGAGGUCUCAAGCGUUGUUCGGAUUCAUUGGGCGUAAAGGGUGCGUAGGCGGCGCGGUAAGUCGGGUGUGAAAUCUCGGGGCUUAACUCCGAAACUGCAUUCGAUACUGCCGUGCUUGAGGACUGGAGAGGAGACUGGAAUUUACGGUGUAGCGGUGAAAUGCGUAGAUAUCGUAAGGAAGACCAGUGGCGAAGGCGGCUUACUGGUCCGGUUCUGACGCUGAGGCGCGAAAGCGUGGGGAGCAAACAGG
rnacentral:rRNA from 1 species